ACGGGUGAGUAACACGUGGGAACGUACCCUUUUCUACGGAAUAACCCAGGGAAACUUGGACUAAUACCGUAUGUGCCCUUCGGGGGAAAGAUUUAUCGGAAAAGGAUCGGCCCGCGUUGGAUUAGCUAGUUGGUGGGGUAAAGGCCUACCAAGGCGACGAUCCAUAGCCGGUCUGAGAGGAUGAUCAGCCACAUUGGGACUGAGACACGGCCCAAACUCCUACGGGAGGCAGCAGUGGGGAAUAUUGGACAAUGGGCGCAAGCCUGAUCCAGCCAUGCCGCGUGAGUGAUGAAGGCCUUAGGGUUGUAAAGCUCUUUCACCGGAGAAGAUAAUGACGGUAUCCGGAGAAGAAGCCCCGGCUAACUUCGUGCCAGCAGCCGCGGUAAUACGAAGGGGGCUAGCGUUGUUCGGAUUUACUGGGCGUAAAGCGCACGUAGGCGGAUCGAUCAGUCAGGGGUGAAAUCCCAGAGCUCAACUCUGGAACUGCCUUUGAUACUGUCGAUCUGGAGUAUGGAAGAGGUGAGUGGAAUUCCGAGUGUAGAGGUGAAAUUCGUAGA
rnacentral:rRNA from 1 species